rnacentral:rRNA from 1 species
AAGCAACGCGAAGAACCUUACCAGGCCUUGACAUGCAGAGAACUUUCCAGAGAUGGAUUGGUGCCUUCGGGAACUCUGACACAGGUGCUGCAUGGCUGUCGUCAGCUCGUGUCGUGAGAUGUUGGGUUAAGUCCCGCAACGAGCGCAACCCUUGCCUUUAGUUGCCAGCAGUUCGGCUGGGCACUCUAAAGGGACUGCCGGUGUUAAACCGGAGGAAGGUGGGGAUGACGUCAAGUCCUCAUGGCCUUUAUGACCAGGGCUACACACGUACUACAAUGGCCGAUACAAAGGGCAGCGACACUGCGAGGUGAAGCCAAUCCCGUAAAAUCGGUCUCAGUCCGGAUUGGAGUCUGCAACUCGACUCCAUGAAGUUGGAAUCGCUAGUAAUCGUGGAUCAGCAUGCCACGGUGAAUACGUUCCCGGGCCUU